rnacentral:misc_RNA from 1 species
UACGUCGAUCCUAGAAACCAACAAAAUAGAAUCAAACGUCCUAUUUCAUUAUUCCAUGCUAAUGUAUUCAAGCGUAUGCCUACUUUAAACACUCUAAUUUUUUCAAAGUAACAGUCCUGAUCCCCCAAGACACCAAAUUAAUGACAUCAAGGUUCUUCAGAAGGGAGAAACCAGUAGUGACAGUACGUACCGAAGCACGACCAACAU